AGUUUUGCACAGUGGCAGUAUCGUAGCCAAUGAGAUUUGUCUGAGGUGUGAUUAUUGCUAGUUGAAAAAUCAGAACUUACUGAACCCAAAUGGCCAAAGUAAUUCUGAGAAAGAACAAAGCUU
rnacentral:snRNA from 1 species